CCCGGUAAACGGCGGCCGUAACUAUAACGGUCCUAAGGUAGCGAAAUUCCUUGUCGGGUAAGUUCCGACCUGCACGAAUGGCGUAAUGAUGGCCAGGCUGUCUCCACCCGAGACUCAGUGAAAUUGAACUCGCUGUGAAGAUGCAGUGUACCCGCGGCAAGACGGAAAGACCCCGUGAACCUUUACUAUAGCUUGACACUGAACAUUGAGCCUUGAUGUGUAGGAUAGGUGGGAGGCUUUGAAGCGUGGACGCCAGUCUGCGUGGAGCCAACCUUGAAAUACCACCCUUUAAUGUUUGAUGUUCUAACGUGGACCCGUUACCCGGGUUGCGGACAGUGUCUGGUGGGUAGUUUGACUGGGGCGGUCUCCUCCCAAAGAGUAACGGAGGAGCACGAAGGUUGGCUAAUCCUGGUCGGACAUCAGGAGGUUAGUGCAAUGGCAUAAGCCAGCUUGACUGCGAGCGUGACGGCGCGAGCAGGUGCGAAAGCAGGUCAUAGUGAUCCGGUGGUUCUGAAUGGAAGGGCCAUCGCUCAACGGAUAAAAGGUACUCCGGGGAUAACAGGCUGAUACCGCCCAAGAGUUCAUAUCGACGGCGGUGUUUGGCACCUCGAUGUCGGCUCAUCACAUCCUGGGGCUGAAGUAGGUCCCAAGGGUAUGGCUGUUCGCCAUUUAAAGUGGUACGCGAGCUGGGUUUAGAACGUCGUGAGACAGUUCGGUCCCUAUCUGCCGUGGGCGCUGGAGAACUGAGGGGGGCUGCUCCUAGUACGAGAGGACCGGAGUGGACGCAUCACUGGUGUUCGGGUUGUCAUGCCAAUGGCACUGCCCGGUAGCUAAAUGCGGAAGAGAUAAGUGCUGAAAGCAUCUAAGCACGAAACUUGCCCCGAGAUGAGUUCUCCCUGAGACCUUGAGUCUCCUGAAGGAACGUUGAAGACGACGACGUUGAUAGGCCGGGUGUGUAAGCGCAGCGAUGCGUUGAGCUAACCGGUACUAAUGAACCGUGAGGCUUAACCUUACAACGCCGA
rnacentral:rRNA from 1 species